rnacentral:rRNA from 1 species
AUUUCACACUGUCAAGAAAAGUCUCUAUCGAGGUUAAAGGUACCCGUACCGCAAACCGACACAGGUGGGUGAGGAGAGUAUCCUAAGGCCAGCGAGAGAACUGUUGUUAAGGAACUCGGCAAAAUGACCCCGUAACUUAGGGAUAAGGGGUGCCACCAUCAGGUGGCCGCAGAGAAUAGGCCCAAGCGACUGUUUACCAAAAACAUAGGUUUCUGCUAAGUCGCAAGACGAUGUAUAGGAGCUGACGCCUGCCCGGUGCUGGAAGGUUAAGGGGAUCUGUUAGAGCAAUCGAAGCAGUGAACUUAAGCCCCAGUAAACGGCGGCCGUAACUAUAACGGUCCUAAGGUAGCGAAAUUCCUUGUCGGGUAAGUUCCGACCCGCACGAAAGGCGUAACGAUUUGGGCACUGUCUCAACAACAGACUCGGUGAAAUUGUAAUUCCGGUGAAGAUGCCGGAUACCUGCGACAGGACGGAAAGACCCCAUGGAGCUUUACUGUAGCUUGACAUUGGGUCUUGGUACUACAUGUACAGGAUAGGUGGGAGGCUUUGAAACCAGGACGCCAGUUUUGGCGGAGCCAUCCUUGGGAUACCACCCUUGUAGUA